rnacentral:rRNA from 1 species
AGAGUUUGAUCCUGGCUCAGGAUGAACGCUAGCGACAGGCCUAACACAUGCAAGUCGAGGGGCAGCGGAGAGGUAGCAAUACCUUUGCCGGCGACCGGCGCACGGGUGAGUAACACGUAUGCAAUCCACCUGUAACAGGGGGAUAACCCGGAGAAAUCCGGACUAAUACCCCAUAAUAUGGGCUCUCCGCAUGGAGGGUCCAUUAAAGAGAGCAAUUUUGGUUACAGACGAGCAUGCGCUCCAUUAGCCAGUUGGCGGGGUAACGGCCCACCAAAGCGACGAUGGAUAGGGGUUCUGAGAGGAAGGUCCCCCACAUUGGAACUGAGACACGGUCCAAACUCCUACGGGAGGCAGCAGUGAGGAAUAUUGGUCAAUGGACGAGAGUCUGAACCAGCCAAGUAGCGUGAAGGAUGAAGGUCCUACGGAUUGUAAACUUCUUUUAUAAGGGAAUAAACCCUUCCACGUGUGGGAGCUUGUAUGUACCUUAUGAAUAAGCAUCGGCUAACUCCGUGCCAGCAGCCGCGGUAAUACGGAGGAUGCGAGCGUUAUCCGGAUUUAUUGGGUUUAAAGGGUGCGUAGGCGGCACGCCAAGUCAGCGGUGAAAUUUUCGGGCUCAACCCGGACUGUGCCGUUGAAACUGGCGAGCUAGAGUGCACAAGAGGCAGGCGGAAUGCGUGGUGUAGCGGUGAAAUGCAUAGAUAUCACGCAGAACCCCGAUUGCGAAGGCAGCCUGCUAGGGUGCGACAGACGCUGAGGCACGAAAGCGUGGGUAUCGAACAGGAUUAGAUACCCUGGUAGUCCACGCAGUAAACGAUGAAUACUCACCGUUUGCGAUAUAAUGUAAGCGGUAAAGCGAAAGCGUUAAGUAUUCCACCUGGGGAGUACGCCGGCAACGGUGAAACUCAAAGGAAUUGACGGGGGCCCGCACAAGCGGAGGAACAUGUGGUUUAA